rnacentral:tRNA from 1 species
GGGCCUAUAGCAUAAUGGAUAGUGCGACCGGCUUCGGACCGGUUGAUCCGGGUUCGAAUCCUGGUAGGCUCA